CCCCUAGACGUUCUGGGCUGCACGCGCGCUACAAUAAUACGCACAGCGAGUAUCACCAAGCUCGAUAGGGCAAGGUAAACAACAGAAAGGGUACUGUAAUGGUUAUAGAUCCUUGUAAUUAUUGAUCUUCAACGAGGAAUUCCUAGUAAGUUUGUGUCAUCAUCACGCACUGAUUACGUCCCUGCCCUUUGUACACACCGCCCGUCGCUCCUACCGAUUGAAUGUUCCGGUGAGCUCUUCGGACUGCGCGGUCUGCAGUUUCUGCGUUCCGUGCGGAAAGUUGCGCAAACCUUAACAUUUAGAGGAAGGAGAAGUCGUAACA
rnacentral:rRNA from 1 species